rnacentral:misc_RNA from 1 species
UUGAAUUUUAAUGAAGAGUUUGGUUGUAGCUGGCCCAUUCAUUUGGGCAUGUGCACAUCUUCCUCUUUCAUCCCACACACACCUGUGAACCUGUGAGACAGAGAUGGGGAAUUUACUUGCUGCUUUUUGGAAUACAAAGGCAAUAGGUUAUUGGACCCCCCCUCUGUCUACUCAAUUAAUAUAAACUCAAUUUAUUUUAAAACGAAUGUAAUGGAUGUAACACAUCUCAUAC